ACAGAGAAGGAUUGGCACAGGCGUUAGCUCAGUGCCAAUCUUCCUCACCAAAUAAAAAGAAAAAGAAAAGAGAAGUGAGUCACAGAAUCCAGCCCACACUCCAGGGGAGGGGAGGUAAUCUCCUCCUGGAGGAAGAAGACAUGUCAAAGAACUUGUAGAGAGAUGUUAAAGCCAUAUAUAAUUAGUACAUAAACAAUAAAUUUAAUAAUUAAUUUUAUCAAUUAAUAAAUAUUUGAAAGGAGAUACUUUGAGGCUAUGCAAAUAUCCUAUUUCUUCUUAAACUUUCCCUCACAUGUUAGCAUUCAUCGGGGGACCUCGCCUUCAGCAAGGAUGGUUGUGAUAUUCUAUUUCCCUCAUUCCUUCUCUAUUUAUUAAUUGGAAUUCUUCUGUAAGGAAGUGUCAGCCUUUCCCCUCCAUUUAUUUACUUAUUCAAUCAUUUAUGAGUAUAGGCUCAUGAAUAUGUAUUUUCCUCUUUGGUUAUAAUCCAACACCAUCAUUACGUAUUUUGUUGCUGACAACGUUCCAGUUUGGCCAUUAAGAGUUCUUUCAGCUUGGCUCCUGUGACUUUUUAAUAUGUCCCCAUCGUUUUGGCAUUUGUUUUUGGUUUUGUUUUGCUAUGCUUUAUUUCUCUUUUUUGGUGCAGAUCAUGGAUUUUGAAAGCAUCAGUCAGACAUGUUACUCUCCAACUCCAAACCCUGCAGGGGGUUCUACUGUGCUUAGAAUAAACUGCAGAGUUCCUCCUCUAGCACGAGUCCCUGCGUGAUUUGGCCCCACACAUCUCCCAUCUCACUUUUUCCGCUCUCUUGUUUCUUGCUGACCUCGGCUUCCUUUGGCUUUCCUCUUGUUCUUGUGAUACAUCUAGUUUGUUCUCUGCAAGCCCUUUGCUCCUGCAUCCCCUCUGCCUCAAGCAGCAUCCUUGCCCAGGUUUCAUCUUGGCUGACUCCUUGUCCUUCAAGCCAAAGCUCCCUGAUCACAUGUGAAGUGGCAGGAACACUCAGAAGGGCAAAUGAAGAGAGUUUAAUGAAGGUGCAUUUUACAGAGGUGUGGAGGGGCUCACGGGAACCAGGAAGGAAGAGUGAAGCGCUGAGGAGGAGCCAGACAGGGGCUGUUACCAAUCCCUGGCUUGAAGGGGCAAGAGGAGGAAACAGUGUUAAUAGUGCUAGCAAGAGCUGGGGCCACAGGUAGAGAAUCUCAACCACUGUCCAAACCGUGGUCCCAGCUGGGGCAGUGGUAGGUCUUGGAGUGUAUUAACCUUUCUCUCCUACUCUUUGAUCUCCUGUCAGUGCUCCCCAUUGGUCAGACCCAACAGAGAGCUGGAGGACAAGCCUGCUGCGCUCCACAGAGGUCAGCCUCCUGGGAUACAGGGCAGGGUGGAGAAGGAUGGAGAAUGGGUCUCCAGGGGCAAAUGGAGAAUGCCCAGCUCGCUACCCAACAUAAACUGUGUCUAUCAUCAGUCUAUCAUUUCACCUUGUUUCUCCCCACCCCAUCGUGCAUUUACCAUUAUCUGAAACUGUCUUAUUCAUCUAUUGUGUGUUUACUGUCUACCUCCCCCCAGAAUAAUGUGAUUUCCAUGGAGAAGGGACCAUCUUAUUCACCACUAUAUUCACAGUCCCUGGCACAUAGUAGGUGUUCAAUAAAUAUUUAUGCAUGGAAAAAAAUGAAUUCACGUUCAGAAGCCAAAACACAUGCUCAGGCCCAGGGUACUCCCGGCUGGUUUUUCUCCCUUCAGAAUGCUGAGAGAUAAUCAGCUGGGAUGAUCUGUGCCAUUCCAGAAUUAGAACUCCUCUAGGACCUCUGAUCCACCCUCUCUUCCCAUACUCCCCCAUCAGCCAGCUGCACUCCUGGCACAACAGUGAUGUUUCAUCCGCAGGUGCCUCUGCCAUCUCUCCCAACUUCCUAACCCUGAGACCCAGCUCCACCUGCCUCCCCCUGAAGCCUCUCUGACGUCUGCAGCCUUCUUACCCUCAUCAUUCCUCUUCACAGACGUGCCCAUCGCUCCUACUGCUCACCUAUUUCUCUAGACCUGUGCUGGCCUGUGCAGUCACCACUAGCCACACUAUCCAUCCAGCACUUGCAUUGUGGCUGUCCAAACCGAGAUGUGCCGUACGUGUAAAGCACACACCAGACUUCAAAGAAUUAGUGUGAAUAAAAGAAUGUAAAAAUCUUGAUUACAUGUUGAAAUGAUAACAUUUUGGGUACAUUGGGUUAAAUACAAUAUAUUAUUGACUAAUUUCUCCUGUUUGUUUUCAAUAUAGCUACUAGAAGCUUUAAAAUUACAUAUGUGGCUCACAUUGGAUUUCUGUUGGACAGAGCUGCUCCAGACUAAAUGUCUCCGUGAGUGUCGUUUCAUUUGCCGCAGCAUUCCCAGGGCUGGUGCAGAGCCCGGUCUGUCGUAGGUGCUCAGUAAAUACCUGUUGACUAAAGAAACACUUCCUACUAGGUCUUUUCCCCAGGGGAUCACAAGCUCCUGGAGGAGAAGGCAGGGACCCUCUGUCUGCCUCACAGGUAGUGUGGGUACGCAACUCUCAAGCAGGGCGAGACCUGCCUAUGGCAUGUGUUUGCUGAAUGAAGGUCGUCAGGGAGGUGCAUGCCUGACUGAGGCUCCAGAAACGACACCUGGCGGGGCCUGAUGUGUGAAAUGGGAAGAGAAGUCAGAAGACCAGCCUGGAGAGUAAGCGCCAUUGCCUCCCAUUAAGGAUAACUCGCAAGAGGGUCUUAGAAGAACACAGGGCUCCUACAGAAGAAGGGCAGCACCCUGACCUGUUUUGCUCAGCCAGGGAUGUUGCUAUGUGCCAAUUUUCUUGACAGGAAGAUGCUAGAGUCUGCCGGCUCAGCACGUUUUUACCUGACAGAGGGGGAAAAUACGUAAACUUUUCUGCUGCAGGAUGUUGUAAAAGGAAGAGAUACCUGCUUCUCCCCAGAGGCAGAGCUUGAGCCAGACGUUCUCGUGAGCGCUCUAGAAUUGUUAUUUCAUAAAUCCCUUCAAUUCCUCUGCGAGGCAGAAGUAUUACCAGCUCUGCUUUCCUGAUGAGGAAAGCGAAGCUCCAAGAGGUAAAGUAACUUAGCCAAAGUCUCAGAGGGAGAGUGGCAGAGUCAGCAGUGGAACAUAGUUUUCUUGACCCUUUCUCCAGUGUACUUUAACUAUACCACACUGUCUCUAUCCCUCAAUUGAAAGAGAGAGAGAGAGAGACGGAGAGAGGAAGAGAGGAAGAGACGAAGAGAGGAAAGCGGUGGGGAGGGAGACAGAGAGAGUUUCGAGGUCUGUGAUUCGUUGGUUUAUUCGUGUAGCUCUUUGAUACUAGAAUUUUUCAAAGCAGUAAAGGUGGGCUCUGUUUCAGAGCACAGCUAUGUGACAGGAGCCCAGUUCCGGAAUUCUAGAAUCAACAUCCAUAGUUACUUCUCUCUCUGUCCAAUCACUGGCUUUGUGGGUCCCCAAGCAUAACACUUCCCAGUUCUCCGUGCCCUUCUGUAAGAUGGAGAGCUGAGAUGUCGUGCAUGUUCAAGUUUCCUGGUACACAUACGUAAAACACCAUCUGUCGGCUGUCUGACCUGGCACGUAGACCACCUGUGUCGGUCAGUUAUUGCUGCAUUACAAAGUGCCCCCAAAGAGAUGCUCACUCACAUGCAUGAAGAUCUCUGAUGUGCUUCUGCCUCACAGAUCUCAGCUCAGAACCCUGACCAAAGAGGCCUUGGCCACCCAGGGCAUGUUCUUCUCAUGUCAAUGGCAGGAGCACAAGGGGGUAAAACCAAUCCCUCAAGCAUCCCUCAAGCCUCUGCUUGUAGUCCCAUCUACCAACAUCUCAUUGGCCAAAGCAAGUCACAUGGCUCAGCUCAAAGUCAAGGGGCAGGGAGACUGGAUGAGGUGGGUAGGAGGAAAUAUUCCUUAAGAGCAAUCUUAUCUACUGUGUUCCUUUGUCUAUCUGGGCCUCAACGACUGUUGGUUUCAAUGACUAUUUGGUCAAAGUUAGAAACACACAUCAUGCUUAAAGGAUAAUACUGGGUAUAUUCUUGAUUUGUGAAAUAAUGCUACAACAGAUUUCUAUUGCAUUCUAGUUCAUUACUUCCUUGAUUUGAGUAUUUCACAAAGUCAAAUCCCAUCUCUGAAACUGAACAACUACAUUUGAUUUCAUGCAAUCAGCCAAUGUAUAAAUCCCAUUUCCCAUUACCAAGGUGGUAAAGAAACUUACCCAUAGCAUCAGGAGUGAGCACUCUUCUCCAAUUGUAGUUUUCUUCCUGCAUGAAUUAUUCACAACAAAGGCUCUCCUUAUAAAUCUACUCACUUUUCCAUGGCCUUCACAGAUUUUAGAGCUUGCUACUUUUCUGAGUGCGUUGCAUGAAGGUUUGCUGCAUUUAAUGGCAAAUGGAUUUGGCAUGUUCAUUAGCCAAGUAAUCAUAAAUAUCCAGGUGCCAGUUAUGCACAGAGUGCUGUGGCAGGGGAUCAAAGACAGACUGAGUGGAGGGAGGCAGUCCCUACCCUCAAGGGGCUUAGAGUGUGGCUGGGAAGUUGGGAUGCUCAUCCACGCUGACAUAGACUAGCCCUGCCAGCCUAUAGUGUACAUGCGACUCAGGUCAGGCUGUCACAGAAAAUAUCACCUUACGUUCCACAGUUUGGGCUAUGGAACGAAUGUUUUUGCACAUGUUUCUCAAACCUGAACUCCGCAGUUUGGGUCUCAGAAGCAAAUUUGAAAUUUUGAAGACAUUUCUGUUUUCUGAAAUGAUGGGUUUAAAUCUCUGCUCAGCAAUGCGCAGGCCUCUCUGGCCUUCCUUUCAGCUGAAUUUCUCACCUUAUAAAGGGUAUUUUUAUCAAUUUAUGGAAAAGACUAAUUUUGUUCAAUGAAAGAAGAAUAAAAGCACUAGAUGGGAGGCAGUCACCUUGUUUUCAGUUUAUGUUUCAUUAUGAAUUUCCAUUGCAUCUGACACUCUUGCAUUAAAAAAAUCUUCAGAUACAUCAUUUUGGAGUUAAGGUAAUCUGUCUGCAAAUUUGACAGAAAAUUCGGUAAGGCUGGAGAUCCAUCAUACAGACAUAAUUUGCUACUGCUCUGAUCACUUUCAGUAAAAUGAUCCAAUUAUAUUCCACAUGGCUUAUUAUCAGCCUCUCUCCCUCCACCAGCUGAAAGAGGGAAAAUAGUGUCAUGUUAUGAGUUAAUGGCUAAAGCUUGCUUUGUGCAACUCAGAGUCUGAUUUUGACAGUGAAUUCCAGGGGACAUCAAGCGCCAAACCCUGUAAUCACUUAUGUGCUCAAUAAAUACAUACUGAUCCCGUGCACUACACAAGACACUAGGCAGAGAAGGCAGAGGAGUAACACAAAAAGGAGUAAGACAGGAGGGCCGCAGUCUCAGCACGUGCAGUUGCUGAGCUGCUGACUGACGGGAACAGCUGAGGUGAGCAAGAGAGGGCUCGGCAAACAGGAGGCGGCAGGCCCCACCCACUCAGCUCCCGUUACCUAGCAGCCGGCACACAGGUAAGAUAAUGUGGUAUGGCCAGAUCAUCUAAACUUUUAAAAGAAGCCAAAAACCUGGGCAUUUGGUGAAAUCUCCUGACUCGAAAGCCUGUCUAUUGGCCUCUGGGCUGCUAAUUGGGAGCCCCUGGUAGAGACAGGGUUCCUGCCCUCAAGGAGAGCGGGCAGCAGCAGACACAGUCACUGUGACACAGUGCAGAGUGAGAUGAGCGGUGUGACAGAUGCAUCUCCAAAGUCCCAAAGAAGCAAGAAGGAGGGUGGAGUCCUCCAAGCGUGGGUCUCCUCUUAUGAGACAUCUGUAAGCUGCAGGCCCUCUUUCCUUUGAAGACCCCACCCCAAGACAUGGUAAUCAUAUUAAAAUACAUCCAGUUCUCAUGUUAAAUAGAAUGUUUUGUUGUCAAAGUUUGUUUUCAAAAUAUUAUUUUGAUUUUUCAGUUUUCAUAUUUUGGAACUCAUUAUUUUUUCCCCUCCACUGCAGGUCUCAAACACUGUCAUAGGCUCAUGAAAACCCUGAGAGCCUGAUGGAUAAAAAUACUCCUGGAGUCAGGAAUGGUGUCAUAGAUCUCGAAAGCAAAGGGUAUCUCCACCAGUAGAGAGGGGGCUGAAGGGCUUUCCAGAAGAGGCAAACAGUGGGAGGAUGUUCAGGAACAGCCUAGAAAGGAUAAAGUAUUCAGCCCUUGCCAGAGACAGGUUAGAGAGAGAUCUGGAAAUAUAAUUAGUAAACAAAUUUUGGAGACUGGAUGUGGAUUUUAGACUCUAUUCUCCAGGCCAUGAAGAGCCACCGAUGGUUUCUGGGAGAAGUGUGACCUGUCCAGAGGACUGCAUGUGGGACUGGCCCGGGAAAGCUUCGAGGAGGAAAAAUUUAUCUUAGAGAACUUUAACACUGAAAGGGACAUCAUAAACCAACUACUCUUCAUUUCUUCAAGUUCAGAGUAAAGGAAACUGGCUUACACAGGAAAAGCGACUUGCCUAAGGUCACUGGAAUCAGAGCCAAAGCUGGAAGAAGAGUCUGUGUCAUCUGGUUCGGGUAAACUGGCUUCUCUGUACCUGGCCACCUCCUGUGGGUAUAACCUGGAGAUUAAGCUGACAACUACACAGCAGCACGAGCUUUCAGACACUAAGAAGAGACACAAUGGCCCUCUGAAUGAAGAUUGAUGUCCCCUAAGACAAUCCAGGAAUACUUUCAGUCAUGGGGCCCUGGGGUUUGCAACCAAACUCAGUUGUCUUGGGGUCAAUUAAACUGACCUUUGGAAAGCACUCUCCAUGGACUCUCCAAGUCAGUCUCUGAUUUGCUUUCUUUUUUCAUCCUUUUCAAACACAAGUGAAUGACAUAAAUUUUGUGACUGAUAAGCCUCCCUUUUUCUGAUCCUCCAAGAGAAAAUGUCUGGCCCGGAAAUAACCAUUUUUUUAAGACUGCUGUCCAUUCUUGGCAAAAAAGUCAUGUCAAACAUAGCCCUGGGCUUCCUCAAACUUGCAACCUGCCUUCCGCCAUCAUUUUAACAGAGAGGGCUUCCCAGACAUCAUGAACUUUGCAUGUAAUCUUUGUUUGUCUUUCAAAGAGAUUUGGGGCUGGAUUUUCCAUGACAGUCUGUUAAUGUCAACAUAACCAUUGGUGAUAUGUUGUGUUGUGGAGGCAGUGGAGGUGAGCAAAAGAGCCAUCGAACCACCCUAAAUGGACCAGUCCCACUUACUCUUCCGGCAUUGUCUUCAGAUAGCUAUCACAUCCCUUCCUGAAGACGUCCAGGAGGGGACACACCAUGCCUUGACUCUGUGGCCUCAACCUGAUGCUUUAUCAUUAGACCUUCACAAAGCUGAUUCUCCUGCCAAAACUGUAAUGCCUGGAACAUUCGUUUACUCUCUUCCUUUCUCAGGUCAGUCCCUAAAACAAGGAAAUGGCUGCUCAACCUUGUUCCUCUCCUUGCGUUCUUGCAGAUGACCACUGUUUCUGUUGCGACCGGCACCAAAGGCUCUCGAGGGUACAGGCAGCUUGCAGGGAAGGUUUCCUUGGACUCGUGGCCCCAGAUCCUCCUCCUGGGCUGCCUUUCAGACAUCCACCCUUGGAAAGCUGGUAGCUCGCUUCUCUGCUGCCUCUUCACUUCUUCGAGAUGCCAAGGAACCUACUGCAUGCAAAGUGACAGUUCUUGCCAUGUUUGAAUGUGCACUUACAGUUCCUAAUUAAAUAAUAACUUUCACAGCA